rnacentral:rRNA from 1 species
UGAGUUUGAUCAUGGCUCAGAUUGAACGCUGGCGGCAGGCUUAACACAUGCAAGUCGAGCGGAAACGGCAUAAUUGACGCCUUCGGGUUGAUUUUAUGGACGUCGAGCGGCGGAUGGGUGAGUAAUGCCUGGGAAUCUGCCUGGUAGUGGGGGAUAACUUGCCGAAAGGUAAGCUAAUACCGCGUACGCCCUACGGGGGAAAGCAGGGGAUCUUCGGACCUUGCGCUAUCAGAUGAGCCCAGGCCGGAUUAGCUAGUUGGUGGGGUAAUGGCCUACCAAGGCGACGAUCCGUAGCUAGUCUGAGAGGAUGAUCAGCCACACCGGGACUGAGACACGGCCCGGACUCCUACA